rnacentral:misc_RNA from 1 species
UUUUUUUUUUUUUUUUGUAUAAUUCAUGACACCUGUUUAGAUGGUUUUGAAAUACCACCGGCACUUCCAGUAAUAAGAAUUGUUUGAGGUACUGCAUCUUUUAAGUUCUUGAAAUGGAAUCUGGCCAUUAGUGAAAGAACUGUUUUAUGACUAUAAUGCAUUGGAAGCUAACAGGCGAUAUGGUUGGUUCGAGCUUCUCUAUUGAUGCAUGAACUCAUGAUAUCGGUGGAUUAAAGGAAGGUAGCAGUAUUUGUUUAAAUUUAAGACAGUGGUGUUGUAACUUUAAGAAAAAUAGGUUACUAAGCCAUGUUAUCUGCUUAACAGGAUGACAACUGAAAACCAAGAGACCAAGUAUAUGGUCUGAUUGGUCUAUUGAGAAACGUUGCUGGAUUUUUGGAGCAAAAAUUGGAUUAAAAUUUUGCUUUCAAGCAUAAAAGAAGGAUUUUCACGCAGAUGGAGGUGUUUCAAAGGGAAGCAACAAAUCAUUGUGUGAUGAAUGAUAAAAAUGCUCUUAAAAUACAGUAGCUAUUGCUAAUGGACGAUAAUGGGUUUUAGAGUGGCAGUUCAUUAUUUAGUAACUUGGAGAUGAUGUAUUCUGGAAGCUACUAGUUAAUAAGUAGUACAACUAUAAUAAUGGAAACUUCAGGCAGUUUGGUCUUGAAGUUGCUUAGGCUUUUGUGGUGUAUGUUUUAAUUAUUUGGUAAGCUUUGAAAGUUAGGCUUUAUAUUAUUGACAGUGAUCUUAAGGAAGUUAUUUUAUAGGUAUGCAGACCUUGGGCAGGUCAUGAGGAUAUAGAGCUUUCUACUUAUUUAUCUACUUGUUUUUAGGCUGUAAAAAACUUCUAAUAUUUGGUCUGCAAUGCAAGACACUGAAUGGUUUGUUUUAUAACUAGCAGUUCUUGCUAGGUUUCGGAUAGUAAAGCUUGUGCUAAAAAUUCAAAUAAAUUCUUGAAUUUCAAAUUCCUCUAUCCAGAUGCAUUCUUAAGUUUGUUGUGGUUUAUAUUAUUGGAUAAGCAACUUACAGUAGAAAGCAAAAUGUGAAUUAAAAUGGUAAACUUUGUUUUUAUGUUUGAAGGCCAAAUUUGUAUUAUCAAACUUUUCUGUAUGUCUGUAGGUCUUUACAUCUCCCCCUCGUUGCUGAGGAUAGAAUGAUUUCAUUUUAUCAUUAUUGCACAUAAAUGACAAUGGAAUGAUUGAAUAUCUGUGAUCCUAUCCAAAAAUAAAAGAAGAAAAAUAAAAAUAUGUGUAAUCUGAGAGUUGUAUAUAUCUACAUGUGUGUAUUGGAGCUUAAUGGCAUACUCAAAUUGUUUGGCAUUGGGACAUUGUUUAUAUAUUGAUUUGUGGCCUUAUUUGCUGUCUUCUAUUUCAAACUUCAUCAAAUGCUUGGGCUUUUUGACAUGCAGAUUUAGGAUAUUGGGUCAGUGAUAGUAGUUUGCAAAAGGAAUUUUCAAGUUUUGGUGAAAUAGCUGAAGGUAAAUUCAUUUCUGGCUUUGAAUAACUCGGCUUUUCUAUAGUAGCCCUUUUCAAUUAUUCUAAUAAACGCUGCAAGUAUUGCAACUUUAUCUCCCAUCUGUGGCAGUUAAGCUUGUCAAAGAUGAAAUCACAAAGAGACCUAAAGCAUAUGCAUUUAUUCAAUAUACUUGUCAAGAUGAUGCCAUUCUAGCACUGGAGAAUAUGGACCAAAAGGUUGUAUUUUGUCACGUUGCCCUUGUUUUCAAAGACACGGUUGAAAAUUCAUGUUGUUCUUAUCUUUUAUCAUCAGAUAUUUGAUGGCAGAUUGAUUUAUGUUGAACUUGCCAAACCUGGGAAAGGAAGUUUUGAAGGAUACCCAAAAGCCUCAGGUCCUCCAAAGCAGCAUUUGCAGGAAAAAGAUGAGGUUGCAGAUUGCUGGUACUGAUCAAAUUCAUUUUGAUAACUUGAAGUCACUGAAGUAGGAAAAAUUGUAAUUCAAGGAACGGGGCAAAAUGGAGUGCUACUGCUCAUAUAGAAUUGUUUCAAGAAAUCUGCAACCGAUAACAUAUCAUCUUGAAGCCACAUCAGAUCACCGCAUCAUUAUAAUUUACCAUCUUGAUCUGUGUAAUAUUUGUCUUAACUUAUGCAUAUGUUAGAGUGCAGACUGCGGAGUUUGUCUCAAACCAGAGCAGCCAUAGGGAUCAAUCAUGUAGAGUGAAAAACGAAUCUCUGCUUUUAAAACUAAAUUAUUACUAGUAUGACGUUUUGAACAAAUGGUCCCUCUCUUCACAUCUGUAUCUUUGAAUUAUUGCUAUAAUUUUAUGGCUUUGAAGAAGAGGUGGUCGGGUUGAUAGGAAAUUAUUAUGCUUAAAAUUAGUGGCUUUAUUGGGCUUAGAAAAUUACAUGUUAUACCCGUUAUGGCUUUGUACUGCGGAUUCACAUUCUAAUUCUCCUACAAACUGAUCAGUAUAGAAAACACAACCGUGUGAUGACACCUUUU